rnacentral:rRNA from 1 species
UACGGAGGGCGCGAGCGUUAAUCGGAAUCACUGGGCGUAAAGCGCGCGUAGGCUGUUGUGUAAGUUGGGGGUGAAAUCCCACGGCUCAACCGUGGAACAGCCCUUGAUACUGCGCGACUUGAAUCCGGGAGAGGGUGGCGGAAUUCCAGGUGUAGGAGUGAAAUCCGUAGAUAUCUGGAGGAACAUCAGUGGCGAAGGCGGCCACCUGGACCGGUAUUGACGCUGAGGCGCGAAAGCGUGGGGAGCAAACAGG